GGAAUAGGAGAAGGAUCCAAGGUGUAAUAUUUAGUGCUGGCAGACAUACCUACAGACGACCCCCGCACGGAACAACAACGACUUAUGUGCCUCAGACAGUCAGUUCUCCUACUGCUGUGUCAAUGGUAUCCCGAAGCAGCGCAUGUGUGACGGCUUCAAUGACUACUGCAGUAACGGAGAGGCGAGGAGAUGGCCUUGCUUUUGUCACUCUGGAUGAGUCUGUGCAGCUGUGUGGCACUGACGAGUGUCGGGAGAAGAAUAUCGGGUGUGAGCCCCUGUGCAUUAACACUCGAGAGUCAUACUACUGCCAGUGCCGGCCAGGAUACUGACUCGUCAGGAAGUUCAACUGUGAAGGACAAAGCUGAGUUGACCCCUCAGGAGAUGUGAAAAGUCAAGACAAGUGGCUUUCCUUCAAAGGCUAAGACAAGCAAUGGCAAGUGGAACCUGAUAAUUUUAUCUUGAAAUGAUGCUGGGUUGCUGGCUUGGAUGAAGAAGUUGCAGAGGCGAGCCAGCAAUGUGGGCCAAAGCUGAGGAGAACAGGAAGAUCCACACCAAGCUGAAGGAAGGAUAUGACUGGAGGAAGGAUUGAAAGUAACAUCCUGCUGCUGACACAUCUUACUGUUGCUCAGGAUCAGCAAUGUUUCCCGUGAUCAUGGAGGGCAAGAUCGAGGACAAUGUGGACCUUAACUUACAGUGAGUGAGCAGUACUGGACCAAAGGAAAGGAGAAAAUCGGGCAGCAAUGAGAAGAGGGGCACAAGUGAGGGAGGCAUUGAGAUGGAGAAGAGGAUGGAGAAUACAAUGAAGAUGAUGAAACAUAAAAGAAAAAAGAUGUAGAAUCAAACCACUUGGAGAAGGACGAUAGGUUAUGUUCACCAGGAGAGGAUGCAGCGGAACACCCCAAGAUGACGUACUCCUGCCGGGAAAGCAAUGACCAAGUGCAUAUGAUGGCACAUACCAACAGACUGCCGGUGACCCUCUCUUUCAGGCACCAUGUAUUAGCACCCCACCAGGAGAUUACACAGUUGCUGUCUGGAUUGCCACCAUUACCACUAGCACCACCCUUCAGACCAAUACACUAAGAGGCAGACUGCACUACCACCACCCUGAAGAAACCAAUGCAUAGCAGCCUUUACCACCACCCAGAUUGGAAGUCUGGAAAAGCAAACGCCAUAACUCUGCCGGUCGUGUGUGUUUGAGGCAAGUGAAAUUAGGUUUGAUAGAUAUUCUGAGUAAAUAUGUAGAGUAUUCACCAUCAUUUCAGUCACCUGUAAUAGGCUAAUCGGGUGUUGUGAGUCACCAUGGGAUGGCAAAUGUAAUUACCUAUUCUUUGAUCAGGAGAGUGAAAUGUUGGUAAGUGAUAACAGGUGAGCUGCUUAUCAAUGGUUCACACAUCCCACAAAAUCAUAAAGGAAGCUACAAGAAGCCAUCAGCCCUACACUUGGCAGUUCUUGUAUCUGUUAUCACCCAUCUUUUUAUUUAUUUAUUUUAUUUUAAGUUUUUAUGUCGUUUUCAUAUUCUAUUAGGGGUAAGACAGUGUCUCGUAACAGAGGACUUUGAAUUUGGGAUAUGGGAACUUUUACCCCAAGUGGACGCCCUUCCUAACCUUGGAUUUGAACCCAUUUGCUUGAGGACCCUGCAGCCCCAUCCAUAAAUGUGUGUAAUCUUUUUAAAUCUCUCUGAUGACUAUGAACCACAAUCUGAUUACUGUUCCAUUCAUUGACCACAGUUUGCAAGAACACUACCACUAUAAUCAACAUCAGGAGCAGAUAGGGACUCGCAGAAGAGGAUGUGGUGAUGCCUUGGUGAAAGAUAAGGAGAUCUGAGAUUUGGGUGUGACUGUCAACACUGUCUGACAAACUGGAUAGUGUGUGUGUGUGUGUGUGUGUGUGUGUGUGUGUGUGUGUGUGUGUGUGCGUGCGUGCGUGCAUGUUUGUCAUGGUGGUACGUACCUCACUGUUGCAUCCUUACCUCAUUACAGUGUUGUGCAGCUCCAGGGAGUUCCAGAGUUUGCCAAAGAAAGGAAUGAAUGAUUGAGAAUACUGGUUAACUUGUAUUAAGGGUGAGAAAAAAAAAGUUGUGCAGUAAGGCCACAAGAGCGAGGGAGGCAUGCAGUUAGCAAGAUCAAAAGAGCAGUUGACAUGAAAAUAGAAGAUAGCAAGGGAUGCAUAUCAUUAAAGAAAGAGGCUGAAGACAGUCAGUGAAAGGAAGGCAGUUAAGACAAAAAGCUUUUGAUUCCAUCAUGUCUAGAAGAGCAGUAUGAGUGUAACUCCAUACAUGUGAAGCAUACUCCAUAAGGGCCCUGCUUAGAAUUGACAGUUGGCAGGGAUGAGAAAAACUGUUGGAGAUGUUUCAGUUUGUAAUCAUCCUCCUGAUGGUGAUGAUGAUGGUGAUGACAUUGAGUGAGAUGGUGAGGGAAUGACAUAAUGGCAUUUUGAAGAUACAAACAACUGCUGAGAGAGAGAGAGAGAGAGAGAGAGAGAGAGAGAGAGAUGCAAUGCUCUUUUACCAUAUUAACUUUCCUUUUCCAGUAGUUAAUGUCAAUAGUCAGAGGUCUUGUUUUAGAGGUUACUUUAUGUAUAUUGUCUAGAAAUUACUACAACUAUUACUGUCUAUUUAUCAGUUUCUGUCACUGUUGUUUUAUGACAGAAUAAUAAACAUUUUCUGAAACUACUGUGUA
rnacentral:lncRNA from 1 species